GAUCCUGGCUCAGGAUGAACGCUGGCGGCGUGCCUAAUACAUGCAAGUCGAGCGAACUGAUUAGAAGCUUGCUUCUAUGACGUUAGCGGCGGACGUGAGUAACACGUGGGCAACCUGCCUGUAAGACUGGGAUAACUCCGGGAAACCGGAGCUAAUACCGGAUAACAUUUUCUCUUGCAUAAGAGAAAAUUGAAAGAUGGUUUCGGCUAUCACUUACAGAUGGGCCCGCGGAGCAUUAGCUAGUUGGUGAGGUAACGGCUCACCAAGGCAACGAUGCAUAGCCGACCUGAGAGGGUGAUCGGCCACACUGGGACUGAGACACGGCCCAGACUCCUACGGGAGGCAGCAGUAGGGAAUCUUCCGCAAUGGACGAAAGUCUGACGGAGCAACGCCGCGUGAGUGAUGAAGGCUUUCGGGUCGUAAAACUCUGUUGUUAGGGAAGAACAAGUACAAGAGUAACUGCUUGUACCUUGACGGUACCUAACCAGAAAGCCACGGCUAACUACGUGCCAGCAGCCGCGGUAAUACGUAGGUGGCAAGCGUUAUCCGGAAUUAUUGGGCGUAAAGCGCGCGCAGGCGGUUUCUUAAGUCUGAUGUGAAAGCCCACGGCUCAACCGUGGAGGGUCAUUGGAAACUGGGGAACUUGAGUGCAGAAGAGAAAAGCGGAAUUCCACGUGUAGCGGUGAAAUGCGUAGAGAUGUGGAGGAACACCAGUGGCGAAGGCGGCUUUUUGGUCUGUAACUGACGCUGAGGCGCGAAAGCGUGGGGAGCAAACAGGAUUAGACCCUGGUAGUCCACGCCGUAAACGAUGAGUGCUAAGUGUUAGAGGGUUUCCGCCCUUUAGUGCUGCAGCUAACGCAUUAAGCACUCCGCCUGGGGAGUACGGUCGCAAGACUGAAACUCAAAGGAAUUGACGGGGGCCCGCACAAGCGGUGGAGCAUGUGGUUUAAUUCGA
rnacentral:rRNA from 2 species